CUUGCUAUUAAAAUCAAAGAUUUUAUUAUCAGUACAGAGUUUCAUAAGUAAUGACGAACAUUCUAGAAGUAUCGAGCAGUUGACAUUUUAAAAGGAGGCGGUCAAUUGGAUUGAACAAAUUUUACGUCUAGAACCCAAGUCGCUAUGCUUCUUUCUAGAUUCAAUGGACGAGUGGGAAAACAAAAAGAUGCCUACUACUAUUGGGCCAACUAAGUAUACCAUGUCGAAAUUGGGUGGGUUGGGCCGAUUCUAGCAAGAUCUAAUCUUCCUUUCCAGGGUAAGAGUCUAAUUUGGUUAACAUGACGGAUAAGCUUGUAAUUGCAAUGGACAAUUAAUAAAAAUAAAAAAAAUAAUAGUAUAAUCUAGUAGAGUACUUACUUAAGUCGACUAUGAUUGUAAACCGAUUAACAAUGCAGUUCCUUGGUGAAAUCGUUAGGCAAAGGGGUGACGAGGAAUGGCGUACUUCAAAGAGCUGGUUUAUAGGCCGGAUGGGGUCCGAGGAAAGGAAUGGCGUACUUCAAAGAGCUGGUCGCAAGUAAAAUUGCUACUUUCACAAGGUUCUGAGUUUUUGCUAACAACCUUAGGUAGGAGUUACCAGUCAUGAUGAUGGAUUCAGAAUGAAAUCAGGAUUUGAAGAUGAACUAAAUUGUUUUUUAUUGAAUACAAAAGUUGGCAUAUGCAAAUCAUGACAGAGAAACAAAACACCUCAAGAUGGAAGAAUUCCAACAUUCUCUUGCUACAUAAGGAUUAACAAUGCUACUACAUAUUAUUCUAUGCAGUGCUACUACAUAUGCAUAAGUUUAACAUCCUAUUCAUUCAUUCCUUCCUAUGUCAUUUCUCUAGGUUAACCAUUUUCCAUAAACACAUACAUUAUUAUUUAGUUGAAUGCACAGGAUACCACCCCAUUUCACAUAGUGUAUCAUUCCAGAUGCCAUCUCAUGGAAAAGCCGGUGAAAAUUAAAUUAUAAGAAGGAUGCAGACCAUGCCCCCAUUUAUUCAACAGAAAACUUCAUAAUGGAACGAAAACCUCCUGCAAGAAAGAAAAUAUUGCAAUGUUAAAAUUAUUUUUCGCCAUUCGCAUAAACUUAUUAAAUGAGCACACUACACAAUUUGGCAACCAAAGAGAGAUGAAAACAUGAGAUAUAUAGAGCUAACAACGUCAAGAGAAUUGCAACAAUUAAAGGAACAAGAAACCCGAAGGAUACUUCCAUUUGCAAAAAAGAAUUGCAUCACAAAAAAGAGUAACAUGUAGAAAGUGGACUCUCAUUUUGUAUUUUCACCAGUAUAAAAUUGAAGAAUUAUGUCACUUUUCUAUAGACCAUUGAAAGAGAUCACUCAUUUUGGAGGUACAAGAAUAGAAAUAGGACUCUCAUUUCAUUUUGAGAUUUAAGUAUUUUACAACUAGAUUGCAUCUACAUAUCCACAACUUCUACACAUUAUACAUAUACCGUCUUGUUAUAGAUAAGUAAGGUAUUAUUCCAAUUUCCAAAAGUCUUGAUCCCUACCACCUCUAACACAAUCUGAUAUUGAUAUGACUACAAAGCUCCCAAGGACAUAUCCCCAAAAGCAAAACCAAUAUGAUGUUCCAAAACACCCAUAUGAGAGAAGUGGGCCAGAAAAAAAUUCCCAAAUGCAAUUGCCCGAGCUUCUCAAAACCACAAAGAAAAGACCUUUAAAUUGUGGUAAGAAUUCACAAAAUAAGCAAAUACAAAUACAAUCAACUGCAGAAUUAAGUAUCUAAAACAUUGAAAUUGGAGAAAAUUAUCAAGACCCAAUAACUAAUAUGCACAAAAAAGUAAAAUAAAGAUGAUCAAGUUUCAAUUCAAUUCAAUUAAAACAUCAUAGGAGAGCUUACGUACCUGUAUAAUUUUUAGGGAAUGAAUGGAAUUAAGAAAGAUCCUUGGCGUUAUGUAAGAAAGCAGCAGAGCAAAGAAUAGAAGCAAUAAAAGCGAAAAGACCCAGCCCAAUCAUCAGAGAAAUCCCCGCCACCACCAAGUCCAUUAAACACUGCACACUCACUCCCAUCAUCUUUUCCCCUCUUCACACACCCUCUCUCUCUCUCUCUCUAUAUAUAUAUAUAUAUAUAUCUUUUUAAUUCGAUUUAUUAUUCCCACAGGCAAUGUCUAUGAAAUUGGGUUUUCCUCCUUUGCAUGAUCAUUUAUACUACACUGCUACACAUGGCACAGAAGAAUGAAAGAGAGAGAAAGAGGGACAGAGAGAGUUGUGACUACUGACAAAUUUGCUGAUAACGUCUUGGAAGGUUGAUACACAAUCACAUUACACGCCUCACCCCAACGGUUGAGGCAUCGGCUAAUAACGCUAGUUAUGGGCCUACUGAGCUCAAUUAUGGGCCUUACUUGACCUCAACUUGUGUGACUUGUUCGAGCACCCUAACAAAAUUUAGAGCUUGUUCGGUACAAGGUGG
rnacentral:lncRNA from 1 species